UACAGAGGGUGCGAGCGUUAAUCGGAAUUACUGGGCGUAAAGGGCGCGUAGGUGGUCUAUUAAGUUGGAUGUGAAAUCCCUGGGCUUAACCUAGGAACUGCAUGCAAGACUGGUAGGCUAGAGUACGGUAGAGGGUAGUGGAAUUUCCGGUGUAGCGGUGAAAUGCGUAGAUAUGCGGAGGAACACCGAUGGCGAAGGCAGCCCCCUGGGUCAAGAUUGACGCUCAUGCACGAAAGCGUGGGGAGCAAACAGG
rnacentral:rRNA from 1 species